rnacentral:lncRNA from 1 species
UCAAACUGGUCAGGAGAUCAGUCAAUCAAGCAAGCAAGUGCCAUUUCCAUUGAGACAAGGCCCUAGGGUUGGUCCAACAUGUUCACAUGACCUAGGGGUCCUUUUGAAGUGGUGUGGUCAAGGAUUGGGUGCUCAGAAGUCAUCAGUUAUUGUUCAGUCCAUCAGAAGCCCUAGAAAGUCAACUAUGGUCAACUGUGGU